rnacentral:tRNA from 1 species
GGUGAUAUAGCUCAGUUGGUAGAGUGCUUGCCUCACAUGCACAGGUCCUAGGUUCUAUUCCCAGCACCA